CGGGCGGGACGCGGGCAGGGGCGGGGGCUGGCAGUGUACACGUCAUUUUGUCGGCUUGGGCUUCUGUUAUUUUAACAGUCGCGCUAGGCGCUAAACCACGUAUCUUUAAAUGAUAAGCAGGCUUGCAAUGUCAUCAUCAUCAUCUGCUUCAUUGAUACCUCCAACCCCCUUCCCCCAAGAAGGCCUGGUGGACCCUUCUGUAUGUUCUCCUUCAGGAAAAAAAAAAGGACUGGAGAAAAGUGCUCAGUCAUAUGUCAUUAUAUGUAUAAAAAACCAGAAAGGUGGAUGUCCCUUAGAGAAACACUGAAUGUGUUCUUACCCGCUGAAGUUCGCAGUUUUUUGCUGGAUUUGCUCAUAUUCCUCUGGUUGAAAGUUAUGUAGAGCACAUACCCUGGAACUAGGAGCCAGGAUUUCCUGCUUUCCCAAUUCCCAUGAUUUUCUUUUUUUUUUUCAUCAUUCUGGACUGGGGACUUUGUUACAACACUAAUUUCUGUAGAUAAUCUGAGGAUCUCUAGGUGCUCCCACAUGUCACACCAUGUAAUUGCAGAAUUCUGAACUAUGCUGGCUAAGCAGAGCUCUUUACUCAUAGGAUAUAGUAUGGAGAGAAAGAAAAUGCAGUUAUGGCAAAGAAGAUUAUUCACAUAGGAAUCUUUCUCCAAGAAACUGUAGUUGACUGGGCUGCAGUUUCAAAGACAACAGCAUCCUGAGACUCUCUCUGGGUUUUUUUCUUCUGAGUUACUUUGUGGAUCUCCUAAGCAGAGUAAAUUAAGGGUCAAACGCUGGUACAGUUCUAUUAGACACCUUUUUAAUAAUGAAACUGUAGCUGCUGGAAAUGCUUGGACGUGAAGACAAGGGACGAUUACAGGAUCGCCACUGGUACGGAUUCCGGAGCCUGCCCCAGGACAGUAGGGGGCGAAAUAGCAUCUUAUACCUCGUGCUUUUAGGGACGUGACCCACCUUGGAUUGCAGCUCCGACUGCAGAUGGAUAGAUGGAUUCUCUCUCUGUGGCUGUGCCAAGAAAAUGCCAUGGCUGACUCCUCUUGAUGAGAAUGCUGUCUAGAAUUUACAAUUGUGUGAAUUUACAAUACGGAUUGAUGUUUGAAUUCUACUCCUAAAAAAACCACGGAGACAUAAAAGCGUACUGCUCAGGGCCUUUCCUAACAUUAAAAUCACUUAUUGCAUAUUUUUUUGCACCAAGUAGCUUUGAUUGUAGGCUUGUUUACUAAUGGAUUGUUAUAGUUUCAUACUACUUUUUUCUUUUUGGUGAAUUUUCCACACCAGCAGUCUUUGCUAGGAUAAGAUAAGCGUCAGGUUUGAUUGUUUGUCCAGCUCGGGCCUUGAUGACUGUGCUAUUGAAACGCGCACACCCACUGAACUGAUUAAGGGAAACCCCAUCUCCCUGUAGCCAUGAUGGAGAGGCCGGCCCAGGUGGGGGGUGGGUGGGGUGGGGAGCA